rnacentral:rRNA from 1 species
AAAAAAGGAAGAAGAGGAUGAUACGUAACGGCGUGACGGAAAGAAAAAGCGGGAGCGAAUAGACAGAGAGGGGGCCCGGCCGUCACGUCGUCUUCCUCCUCGCUCCAUUAGAGCCGAGCUCUCGGGUCUCCGCCUCUGCUCGCCUCCCACUGUUAUCGGAGGCGCUGCGGACGAAGCAGCGGCACUAUGCGUCCGUCCCUCUGUCAUGUUCCUUUUCUUCUUCUGCUACUAUUACAUGUGGUCAUUGCUAGACCAUUCUUUCCACUGCCAAGUAAGACCAGUAAUGAAGAGAAGAAGCCCAUACAGACAUUUCGACCGUAUAACAUUGCUCACCGUGGCUCAAACGGGGAAAUCCCAGAGGAAACAAGUGCUGCUUACCUGAGGGCUAUUGAAGAAGGUGCAGAUUUUAUAGAGACUGACAUCCUUGCUAGCAAAGAUGGUGCAUUGAUCUGCUUUCAUGAUGUAACACUUGAUGAUACAACUGAUAUUUCCGGCCGUAAGGAAUUCGCCAAUCGAAGGAGAACCUAUGAGGUGGAAUGGGCCAACGUUACUGGCUGGUUUGUAGUGGAUUUCACGCUUGAGGAACUUAAAACACUUAAAGUGAAGCAGCGAUACUCAUUCAGAGAUCAACAAUAUAAUGGCAAAUUUUCAAUCAUCACAUUUGAAGAAUUCAUUUCAGUUGCCUUAGAUGCAAGCAGAACCGUUGGAAUAUAUCCAGAGAUAAAAGAUCCAGUUUUUAUCAACAAGCAUGUAAAGUGGGCAGAUGGAAAGAAGUUUGAGGACAAAUUUGUGGAUACCUUACUAAAGUAUGGAUACAGGGGUCAAUAUAUGUCCGAAAAUUGGCUAAAACAGCCAUUGUUUAUACAAUCAUUUGCUCCCUCUUCCCUUGUACAUGUAUCAAAUUUGACAGACUCUCCGAAGAUCUUUCUGAUUGAUGAUACCACAGUGAGAACUCAAGACACAAACCAGUCAUACUGGGAAAUCACUUCAGAUGACUACCUUGCAUAUAUUAGUAACUAUGUUGUCGGCCUCGGUCCAUGGAAAGAUACUAUUGUUCCAGUUGCAAAAAACUAUUUGCUGGAACCAACUGAUCUUGUUGCAAGAGCGCAUGCUCAUAAUCUCCAGGUACACCCUUACACAUACAGGAACGAGAACCAGUUUCUGCACUUCGACUUUCAUCAGGAUCCCUAUGCCGAGUUCGAUUUCUGGAUAAAUACGAUGGGGGUUGACGGAUUAUUCACAGAUUUCGCUGGAAGCGUACACAAGUACCAAGAACUGAAAUCUCCACACCCGAAGGACGCAACCGCGAACAGCCUCCUAGUAAAAAUUGCUCAGUUGAUCGCGGCAUACGAAGGCCACUGAAUAAGUCUGUUCCAGCAAAAUCACUGCCAUUUUCAGUGAUGAUGCGCAAGACCCAAAUGAGUUGACAUUUGACGACCCGCAGUGACCUGGAAAGGUCACUAAUAGAUGUUGGUUUACGCUGUUAUAUAGUGUUAACACGAGUUCAUGUAUACCUCUUCAUUGAACCCCUGAAUCUCAAGGGGGAGAUCUUUAUUAUCGCAAUAACCAUUUUUUUCCGGAAGGUUUCCACACGAAAUUUAAUGGUUGACGUAUAGCUCAUCCGAUGGGAUAUCGUUUCAACAAUCUCCCAAGUUGGGGCGUUCAUAUGUACAAGUGGAAUUGGUGUUGAAAUGCUAAAAGUUAGUGUUGACAGUUGACCUGUGGUUCAGGUAAAUAGGCAUCAGCUGUCUGCAACUUGUGCCCUGUUGUAAGUAGCUGACCACUUGAUCUGGCAGCCGCAGCCACAGCCCCAGCGUGUGUUUGUUGGUGGCUGCGCGCUCCCUGUCAAUUGUUGAUAAUUUUAUAAGGAACCGGUCUGCUCUUGGCUUUUGGAUGGAUGUUUCCCUCACCAAUCUCGAUGCAGGGGCAGGGGAGGAUAAGCUGGACAGAGCCCAACGGAGUUGUAUCGGGCGAGCCAUUGAAGGAUAAAGAAGAUUUGAGGCCACACAGCUCCAGCAGCGGAAGGAUGGAGGCUGCGGCCCUGGCCCGGCUGCCGGAAUAUGCCUCCACCACGGCCCCGCUCACCGGCAAAAGAUGGUCGUUGCCCCGUGCCCAGAGGCGAUCGCCCAGGGCGGCAGCACUGGCGCCCGGAGUCGCGAGCUUCUCCAGCGCAUCUCCCACUACGAGACCACCGAGAAUUCAACGCCGAGGCCCCGGGACAAAGUGUGCGGGGCGCAGGAGGCGGGCGGACAUCCAGUCGGACACGUACGUGCUGCUGGAGCCCGGGAUGGACGAGGAGUUCGUGUCCAAGGAGGAGCUGGAGGUUCGGCUGCGGGGGUGGCUGGAGAGGUGGCCGGGGGGCGCGCUGCCGCCGGACCUCGCGAGGUUCGACACGGUGGACGACGCCGUCUCGUACCUCGUCCGGUCGGUGUGCGAGCUCGAGGUCGACGGCGAGGUGGGCUCCGUGCAGUGGUACCAGGUCCAGAUCGAAUGAAUAGCUAGAGCUAGAAGUACCAUCCGACCAAUGCUGCGUGACUGCAUGUGUAUGUGGUUCGAACUUCGAAGGGACGAAAUUUUGGCCUGAGAUAUAUAGGGCCCUUUGGCGCCCGUGGACCGCGAACGUGAGUAAUAGUACUUUCGGAGAAAUUGAACCGUGUUAUUAGACAAAUCGUUUGCUGUUGCGUGCGGAGAGCUCGCAGGGCCCGACGGCCAGAGAAACCAAUAGUUUUGUUUUGAUACGGACGUGGAGGGACGUUAUUGUAGCCCCAGAAAUGAACAAACAAUAGAGUAAGAAGAUGAUUCGUGUCCAUGUGAGGUCACGGCCAGGCGGUCAGCGGAAGCCGGUCGGUCAGUCCAGUGCGAAAGCUCGCC